GAUGAAGAACGUAGCGAAAUGCGAUAAGUAAUGUGAAUUGCAGAAUUCAGUGAAUCAUCGAAUCUUUGAACGCACAUUGCGCCCGCCAGUAUUCUGGCGGGCAUGCCUGUCCGAGCGUCAUUUCAACCCUCGAACCCCUCCGGGGGGUCGGCGUUGGGGAUCGGCCCCUCACCGGGCCGCCCCCGAAAUCCAGUGGCGGUCUCGCCGCAGCCUCUCCUGCGCAGUAGUUUGCACACUCGCACCGGGAGCGCGGCGCGGCCACAGCCGUAAAACACCCCAAACUCUGAAAUGUUGACCUCGGAUCAGGUAGGAAUACCCGCUGAACUUAAGCAUAUCAAAAGCGGAGGA
rnacentral:misc_RNA from 1 species